rnacentral:rRNA from 1 species
CAGCAGCCGCGGGAAUACGAAGGGGGCUAGCGUUGCUCGGAAUUACUGGGCGUAAAGGGAGCGUAGGCGGAUCGUUUAGUCAGGGGUGAAAUCCCGGGGCUCAACCUCGGAACUGCCUUUGAUACUGGCGAUCUUGAGUAUGGGAGAGGUGUGUGGAACUCCGAGUGUAGAGGUGAAAUUCGUAGAUAUUCGGAAGAACACCAGUGGCGAAGGCGACACACUGGCCCAUUACUGACGCUGAGACUCGAAAGCGUGGGGAGCAAACAGGAUUAGAUACCCGCGUAGUCCCUGUCUCUUAUAC